rnacentral:rRNA from 1 species
UUGACGUUACCCGCAAAAGAAGCACCGGCUAACUCCGUGCCAGCAGCCGCGGUAAUACGGAGGGUGCGAGCGUUAAUCGGAAUAACUGGGCGUAAAGGGCAUGUAGGCGGUAAGUUAAGUCAGAUGUGAAAUCCCCGAGCUUAACUUGGGAACGGCAUUUGAGACUGGCGGGCUAGAGUUUUGUAGAGGGGGGUAGAAUUCCAGGUGUAGCGGUGAAAUGCGUAGAGAUCUGGAGGAAUACCGGUGGCGAAGGCGGCCCCCUGGACAAGGACUGACGCUGAGGUGCGAAAGCGUGGGUAGCAAACAGGAUUAGAUACCCUGGUAGUCCACGCUGUAAACGAUGUCGAUUUGGAGGUUGUGGCCUAGUGUUAUGGCGUCCGAAGCUAACGCGAUAAAUCGACCGCCUGGGGAGUACGGCCGCAAGGUUAAAACUCAAAUGAAUUGACGGGGGCCCGCACAAGCGGUGGAGCAUGUGGUUUAAUUCGAUGCAACGCGAAGAACCUUACCUACUCUUGACAUCCACGGAAUUGAGCAGAGAUGCUUAAGUGCCUUCGGGAGCCGUGAGACAGGUGCUGCAUGGCUGUCGUCAGCUCGUGUUGUGAAAUGUUGGGUUAAGUCCCGCAACGAGCGCAACCCUUGUCCUUUGUUGCCAGCGCGUGAUGGCGGGAACUCAAAGGAGACUGCCGGUGAUAAACCGGAGGAAGGUGGGGAUGACGUCAAGUCAUCAUGGCCCUUACGAGUAGGGCUAC